rnacentral:rRNA from 1 species
UCGAGGGGCAUCGGGGAAAAGCUUGCUUUUCCGCCGGCGACCGGCGCACGGGUGCGGAACGCGUAUGGAACCUGCCCCUGUCAGGGGAAUAGCCCAGGGAAACUUGGAUUAAUGCCCCAUGGUACCGUUAUAUCGCAUGAUAUUACGGUUAAAGAUUUAUCGGACAGGGAUGGCCAUGCGUACCAUUAGUUAGUUGGUGGGGUAACGGCUCACCAAGGCAGCGAUGGUUAGGGGCCCUGAGAGGGGGAUCCCCCACACUGGUACUGAGACACGGACCAGACUCCUACGGGAGGCAGCAGUGAGGAAUAUUGGACAAUGGGCGGGAGCCUGAUCCAGCCAUGCCGCGUGCAGGAUGACGGCCCUAUGGGUUGUAAACUGCUUUUAUACGGGAAGAAACGCGCCCACGUGUGGGCGUUUGACGGUACCGUAAGAAUAAGGACCGGCUAACUCCGUGCCAGCAGCCGCGGUAAUACGGAGGGUCCGAGCGUUAUCCGGAAUCAUUGGGUUUAAAGGGUCCGUAGGCGGGCCUGUAAGUCAGGGGUGAAAGUUUGUGGCUCAACCAUAAAAUUGCCUUUGAUACUGCAGGUCUUGAGUCAUGGUGGGGUUGCCGGAACAUGUGGUGUAGCGGUGAAAUGCAUAGAUAUCACAUAGAACACCGAUCGCGAAGGCAGGUGACCAACCAUGUACUGACGCUGAU